rnacentral:rRNA from 1 species
GAUGAACGCUGGCGGCGUGCCUAAUACAUGCAAGUCGAGCGAACAGACGAGGAGCUUGCUCCUCUGACGUUAGCGGCGGACGGGUGAGUAACACGUGGAUAACCUACCUAUAAGACUGGGAUAACUUCGGGAAACCGGAGCUAAUACCGGAUAAUAUAUUGAACCGCAUGGUUCAAUAGUGAAAGACGGUUUUGCUGUCACUUAUAGAUGGAUCCGCGCCGCAUUAGCUAGUUGGUAAGGUAACGGCUUACCAAGGCGACGAUGCGUAGCCGACCUGAGAGGGUGAUCGGCCACACUGGAACUGAGACACGGUCCAGACUCCUACGGGAGGCAGCAGUAGGGAAUCUUCCGCAAAGGGCGAAAGCCUGACGGAGCAACGCCGCGUGAGUGAUGACGGUCUUCGGAUCGUAAAACUCUGUUAUUAGGGAAGAACAAAUGUGUAAGUAACUAUGCACGUCUUGACGGUACCUAAUCAGAAAGCCACGGCUAAGUACGUG